GAGGCAGUCUGUUUAAGAUCAUUGACAGACCUGAGAGUUUUCUAAAUGGCCCUCCCCUUACAGUGUGGGAAGAAAAUGUCCAUAAUAUAAUUCCUAUAGGAUUAGAGGAAGGGAGGGAAGGCAAUGAAGGUUCCAUUUCUGCUGGGAAUAUCCACUGCUGAGAGGGACAUAUCUGUCUCCAUGGAUGUCAUCUGCUCUGCAAAAGCCCUGCCUUGAGACCCUCAGGGAACAGGAAUCUGAUGUGGACCCUUCUCCUCCUCCUGCUGGAGCUAGCUGUCUUCGCUCCAGGCCUGCCCUUCUCAAGACGGCACAUAGAUAACCCCAGGUCAUGGGUUCCUGGGGGACAGCACCGAUACUGUGAUGUGAUGAUGAGGCGACGGUGGCUGAUCCACAGGGGUAGAUGCAAGCAGAUCAACACCUUCAUUCACGAGGAUCUGGCUACCAUAGCAGAUUUCUGCACAACUCCAGCUGUGCCCUGUACCAGCAACGGCUCCCUGCAGAGCUGCCACAACAGCUCUCACGACGUCAGCGUCACAGACUGCGUUGCCAAGGCAGGAACCCGGCCCCCCUACUGCCACUACCAAAAGAAGGACUCCAUCAGGCCCAUCCGUGUGGGCUGUAAGGAUGGGGCCCCUGUUCACCUGGAUAGCUAGGUUCCUCCCAGCUCUGACAUGGGAAGCCGAUUGCACUCUACACCUUUGGAGCUUUGAGGCUCUACCAAAGUCUUCCCUGUAAAUGC